GACAGAGGGUGCAAACGUUGUUCGGAAUUACUGGGCGUAAAGCGCGUGUAGGCGGCCCUGCAAGUCGGGUGUGAAAGCCCCCGGCUCAACUGGGGAGGGUCAUUCGAUACUGAUCGACUUGAAGGCAGGAGAGGGAAGUGGAAUUCCCGGUGUAGUGGUGAAAUGCGUAGAUAUCGGGAGGAACACCAGUGGCGAAGGCGACUUCCUGGCCUGUUACUGACGCUGAGGAGCGAAAGCGUGGGGAGCGAACAGG
rnacentral:rRNA from 1 species